rnacentral:rRNA from 1 species
AUUGAACGCUGGCGGCAGGCCUAACACAUGCAAGUCGAGCGGAUGAAGAGAGCUUGCUCUCUGAUUUAGCGGCGGACGGGUGAGUAAUGCCUAGGAAUCUGCCUGGUAGUGGGGGAUAACGUUCCGAAAGGAACGCUAAUACCGCGUACGUCCUACGGGAGAAAGCAGGGGACCUUCGGGCCUUGCGCUAUCAGAUGAGCCUAGGUCGGAUUAGCUAGUUGGUGAGGUAAUGGCUCACCAAGGCGACGAUCCGUAACUGGUCUGAGAGGAUGAUCAGUGACACUGGAACUGAGACACGGGCCAGACUCCGACGGGAGGCAGCAGUGGGGAAUAUUGGACAAUGGGCGAAAGCCUGAUCCAGCCAUGCCGCGUGUGUGAAGAAGGUCUUCGGAUUGUAAAGCACUUUAAGUUGGGAGGAAGGGCAGUAAGUUAAUACCUUGCUGUUUUGACGUUACCGACAGAAUAAGCACCGGCUAACUUCGUGCCAGCCGCCGCGGUAAAAC